AGAGUUUGAUCCUGGCUCAGAUUGAACGCUGGCGGCAUGCCUUACACAUGCAAGUCGAACGGCAGCACGGGUGCUUGCACCUGGUGGCGAGUGGCGAACGGGUGAGUAAUAUAUCGGAACGUGCCCUAGAGUGGGGGAUAACGUAGCGAAAGUUACGCUAAUACCGCAUACGAUCUAAGGAUGAAAGUGGGGGAUCGCAAGACCUCAUGCUCCUGGAGCGGCCGAUAUCUGAUUAGCUAGUUGGUGGGGUAAAAGCCUACCAAGGCGACGAUCAGUAGCUGGUCUGAGAGGACGACCAGCCACACUGGGACUGAGACACGGCCCAGACUCCUACGGGAGGCAGCAGUGGGGAAUUUUGGACAAUGGGGGAAACCCUGAUCCAGCAAUGCCGCGUGUGUGAAGAAGGCCUUCGGGUUGUAAAGCACUUUUGUCAGGAACGAAACGGUGGGGGCUAAUACCUCCUGCUAAUGACGGUACCUGAAGAAUAAGCACCGGCUAACUACGUGCCAGCAGCCGCGGUAAUACGUAGGGUGCGAGCGUUAAUCGGAAUUACUGGGCGUAAAGCGUGCGCAGGCGGUUGUGCAAGACAGAUGUGAAAUCCCCGGGCUUAACCUGGGAAUUGCAUUUGUGACUGCACGGCUAGAGUGUGUCAGAGGGGGGUAGAAUUCCACGUGUAGCAGUGAAAUGCGUAGAUAUGUGGAGGAAUACCGAUGGCGAAGGCAGCCCCCUGGGAUAACACUGACGCUCAUGCACGAAAGCGUGGGGAGCAAACAGGAUUAGAUACCCUGGUAGUCCACGCCCUAAACGAUGUCUACUAGUUGUCGGGUCUUAAUUGACUUGGUAACGCAGCUAACGCGUGAAGUAGACCGCCUGGGGAGUACGGU
rnacentral:rRNA from 1 species